GAUGAACGCUAGCGGCAGGCCUAAUACAUGCAAGACGAACGGUAAGUUGAGUAGCAAUACUUAGCCAAGAGUGUCGUACGGGUGCGUAACACGUAUGCAACCUACCCUAUACAGGAGGAUAGCCUAGGGAAACCUGGAUUAACCCUUCAUAGUAUUAUUGGAUGGCAUCAUUUGAUAAUUAAAACUGAGGUGGUAUAGGAUGGGCAUGCGUCUGAUUAGUUAGUUGGCGGGGUAAUGGCCCACCAAGACGAUGAUCAGUAGGGGUUCUGGGAGGAAGAUCCCCCACACUGGCACUGAGAUACGGGCCAGACUCCUACGGGAGGCAGCAGUAGGGAAUAUUGGUCAAUGGAUGCAAGUCUGAACCAGCCAUGCCGCGUGCAGGAAGAAAGGCCCUUCUGGGUUGUAAACUGCUUUUGCCAGGGGAUAAAAUUUCCAUGCGUGGAAAACUGAAGGUACCUGGUGAAUAAGCCACGGCUAAACUACGUGCCAGCAGCCGCGGU
rnacentral:rRNA from 1 species